ensembl:lncRNA
CACAGAGAGUGGUCACAGCUGCACAGAAUCCCAUUCAUUUUACACAGGAUUUAAGAGAAGUUAGAGAGAACUCAAGAACAUAUCUGGUGCUACAGAAAACUGGUAAGUUUUUCAAAUGUAUUUUAUAUUAUUUCAAUUAUGUUUUUGUUUUUUUUUCAUUUAUUUCUUAUGAUGUUUUAGGGGUUUAUUAGGAAUAUGUUAAUAGAAGUUUUUGCCUAUUUAAAAAACGUACAUCACAUUAUUACAUUAACUGUUUAAUUGUAGUUCUCGGGUGUCAUUACGUUCAUUAAGCGCAGCCUCUGACAGUGUCUUGUUUUUGUUUGUGGCUUCCCUACUUCGCAGACAUGAACCAAUCACAGAUGGCUCUUCUGACAUCCGCCCUCGUCAUCGUCCUUCUUACAACAGCCUCCGCUAAGCCGAUUCGUUGGCGCUGGCAUCACGAUGCCGACAUCCCUGACAAUUACGGGAAGCAGGGAUGGCUGGACAGGAAUAGCUGGUGGUCUUGGUGGUGCAGUGACUCUUCAGGCUACGAGGACUCUUCAGAGACGGAGAGAGAGACAGAUCAGUCGCUGGAGUCAUGGGAAUCUAGUGAAUCUUCAGAAAGUCAAUCUUCAGAGGAGUCUUCUGAGGAAGUUCUGACCACUGAUCCGACCACACCGGCUGUGAGCACCACUGCAACUUCAGCCACCACUAUGGGAGACGGGGGUGUGCUCUCCACUGAACAAACCACGAUGUCCUCCACUACGCCAAAUGUCACGCCCCCACCAGGGAUAACAACCACACCUGUGUGUGUUACACACUUGAUUCCAACUACUGCUCCCACCACAGAAAACAGAGGAGACAACUAAGUGAACAGCUAACCAUGUGCUUAUUAAUCAAACAUGUGUCAUUAUGAGGAAACUGUGAGUCAAGUUGUGAGCAUUAACCCACAGUCUGAUUCAAGUGGCAGGUUUCUCAGUGUCAGCAGUGGAGGUUGCCACAUACAUGUCACCCAUCUGCCACUGCUAGACUCAUUCCAGAAAUUUCCAAAUUCAAAUGUUCUGUUCAAUCCAGUAAUUGACAAAGAUGGCAACAGCAAGUCCUUGGCCCCACAGAUUUAGCUUCAACCCAACCAGUCGAGCAGCUCCAAUCCACACCAACCCAGAAAUGUAUCUACAAUUCAAAUGAUGUGCAUGAACUGUAGGAUAAAUAACCAACUUAUAGAAAGAGCAGGUUUGAUUUUCAGGCCUUUUGAUGUUUUACAGAAAGGAAAAAACCUCUAAUUUCACAUUUCACAUAUUGAGACAAAUGUAAAGAAUCAAAUUAGGGACAUUCAAAGUGUUGUUAAAAACACUCUCACAGCUGAUUCACAGGUACUGAGUUUCAACAUGCCACUACUGAUUAUUUGGAAGUUGGACUUUUACUCAUCAAUAUGUCUUUUGACAAAUGGUGCCUUGCAAAAAUAGUGUUUUAUUUACAUAGAUAUAUUAUUUGGUGUUAAAUGUACCUUCAAGAGUAUUAUUGACAUUACAUUGAGCAUUCUGUUGUUGUUGUUGUUUGAAAUGACAGGAAGACCUGAACUGUUUUAGCCACGAAAGACCAUACUGCGUAGAGAUGUCGACAAAACAACUACAUGUUGUGGCUCUGUUGUUUUUAACAUUUAAGUCUGAACUGGUCAGGAAUGUACAGGCAGGUCACUAUGGUGGAAUCCGGUGUCCCAAAAAUAGUCAGUGUUUCUACAUAGCUAUGCUCCUGAAACGCUGUUUAGAGUAUUUAUUUGUAUUCUUGUUUUAUUUUCAGCAUUUCAAAGAAUUUUAAGUGUUGUACCUGUUGCACACGCUUGUUAGAACUAGUGCAUAGUAGAUUAUCAUAACAAAUAUAAUGAACUGAAAUUAUCCACCAAAAAAAAAAGAAAAAUAAACCAAACAUCUGCUUGAAGCAUCCAGAGUAUGUAUCCCACAGCAGUAUGUUUACAGACUGUGGCGGGUGUGUCCUGUUUGUCUUGUUAGCUCUCGUCUGUUGUCUGUACACAGUGAAUAAGGCUGAGUUAUUGCCACGGUUGGUUGCUUUAAUUACAGGUUGUAAAUUCAUCUUUUCCCAAAUGAAAUAUGACUCACAGGGCUGAAGACAAUCUUCAUGUUAUCGGUUUGCUUCUGUUUAAAAGUGUGAUAUUCUUAAAUUUGUUGAACCAGAUCUGAUGUUCAUGACUGGAUGUGUUGUAUGUGACAGUGUUCAUUUGUUCCCCGGAUGACAAAUAAAAGCAACUCAAUUACAA